CUUAUCUUCAAGAUCAUAGAUUCUUUCUUUUGCCUGCUCAAAUUUCAUGUUGAAGAUCUCUAAAGAAAUUUUGAUUUUACUUAUGCACCUUGCAACUCCAGAGGGCAGUGUUACAUAUGGGAGCUGCCUUUAAUGCUCAGCCAGGGAUUUCACAUGUCCUCCACUUUCUCCUUUGCAGAGCUGAAAGUCCAGAGGUUAGAGGCCAGAGUAACAUUCCAUUACACCCAUAUUCUGUAGUUUGUCCAUAUUCCUGCUGGCCAUUUCAGUGUUUUUCCAUUAUGAAUAAAGUUGCUAUGAAUAUUUGGAACCGGGGAUCGAACUUGGGACCUUGUGCUUGCAAGACAGGUGGCAGAACCACUGAGCUAAAUCCCUGGCCUGCUAUGAAUAUUUUUAUACAAGAUGCAGAUGUGUAUGAGUGUGUGAAACUAUAUUUUUAUUUCUCUUGGAGAAAUGCCCCAGGAAGAAAUUACUGAGUCAUAAGACAGAUGUAUACAUUUAAGAAUAUGCAAAACUGUUCUCCAAGAAUACUAUGCUAUUUUAAAUUUUCACUGAAUUGAGAAUUCCAGUUUCUCCAUAUCCACAAUGUUGUUAGAUGUUUGCUGCCUUUACUUAAAUUUAAUUUUUUACUGGUACACA
ensembl:lncRNA